rnacentral:lncRNA from 1 species
CCGAAGCUCUUCCCCUGCCAGAGGAGAUUCCUUUGAAGUCGAUGAUUCGAGACCUCCGAAGGAAAGUUCGUCAGUUGAUGAAGAAGUCUAAGAAGCUGGAAGACGAACUUCACUGGUUGAGGGAGAGCCAUUCAGAGGUCACUACGGAGGCUACUCGCUUUCGGGACCUCCACAAGAAGGGUUUCAUAGAAUACACCCA